GACGAACGCUGGCGGCGUGCUUAACACAUGCAAGUCGAACGGAAAGGCCCUGCUUUUGUGGGGUGCUCGAGUGGCGAACGGGUGAGUAACACGUGAGUAACCUGCCCUUGACUUUGGGAUAACUUCAGGAAACUGGGGCUAAUACCGGAUAGGAGCUCCUGCUGCAUGGUGGGGGUUGGAAAGUUUCGGCGGUUGGGGAUGGACUCGCGGCUUAUCCGCUUGUUGGUGGGGUAGUGGCUUACCAAGGCUUUGACGGGUAGCCGGCCUGAGAGGGUGACCGGCCACAUUGGGACUGAGGGACGGCCCAGACUCCUACGGGAGGCAGCAGUGGGGAAUAUUGCACAAUGGGCGGAAGCCUGAUGCAGCAACGCCGCGUGCGGGAUGACGGCCUUCGGGUGGUAAACCGCUUUCGCCUGUGACGAAGCGUGAGUGACGGUAAUGGGUAAAGAAGCACCGGCUAACUACGUG
rnacentral:rRNA from 1 species